rnacentral:rRNA from 1 species
AUGAAGCCUUCUUUGCAGAAGAAGAGGCUGAGUGCUGUUGCUGAGGAAGGUGGUACACCUCGGCGGAGUCCACGUGUUGCUGGCAUGAACAAGAAUCUUUGCAAGAGAACUGCUAAAGCUGGUGGAAAGGAUGAUCCUCAGCGUAAGCGACUUCAUGUCACUGAAGGUCCCAACUCUGAUGAUGACGACUUUGUGCUUGCUGAUUUUGUGAGCGAUGUUCAUAGUGGUAGAUGCAAAGACUGUGGUUCAUCUAAGAGUCUACCCAAGCGUGCCCGUGAUGAUGUUGAUGAAGUUGUUGGUGGUGACUCUGGCGAGGAGGUGGAUGUUGUUCCAAAGAGGAAGAAGUCUAGUAAGAGAAAUGCAGCUGAAUAUGAUGCUGAGGGAGAUGAUUCUCGAUUUAACAAGACCGUACAUUUGUCGCUUCCCACUGUUUGUAAGGCUGCUACUUUGUUGAAAGAGGCACACUGUAGUCGUGUUCAGGAUGCUGAAUUUGGUGUUGUCUUUGAACUGACAGUAAAGAAAAAUGUGUCACGCAUUCUUAUGUGCUAUCUGAUGGGAGUGAUUGACCCUGCCACCAUGAUAAUGGACUUUGGGAAUGGCAGGGUUCUUCGAAUCAAUCGUGAUGCAGUUCAUCACAUUUUUGAUUUACCUAUGGGACGUCGCACUGCACCCGUGCCUGCUGCCAGCGGCCAUGAUGACUCGUUGACUGCCCUCAAGGAUGAGCUUGGCUUUGGCCGUUCAAAAAUUCGUUUGGGUAGAGUUGCUGCAAUGGUAGAGAACAAGGAUUAUGCGACUAUGGCUCAGAUGGACUUUUGCCAGCUUGUUGUUGAUGAGUUACAGACAGCUGUGGUGAGGUGGCAAACAGAAGACAACAAGCAGAAUUGUGCAGAGGGUUGUGCCAUUGUCCCCCUGAUUAUGUAUCUUUACUGUUUGAAACUUCAUAAAUUUUCAGUCAUGCACACGUUGACGCCACGUGUGUCAUACCUAAUGACCAAGGACCUGAUGAAGUUAUACAAUGAGGAUGUGCUUGUGAAGGGAAAGAUUUACUUGGAAACUUACAAGUUUGGGAAGCUGCCGGCGUCAGCUGAUAUUGUGUACAACCGUCCUGUUGCAGUUGUAUGCGACAGCUCUGAUGCGGGGCCUAGCACUCAUGCUAGGUUUUAUGAGCCUAUCUGUAGCCAGCUUCCUGCCUGUCAUGAUGAGGUGCCGCGUACUCGUGGUUUCAUGGCUCGACAGAUGUUUGAUGAUAGAAGAUCUUCUAAACAGACAUUUGUUGGUGGCAAAAAACACGAGGAGAUUUAUGAGCUUCUUCUGAAGACUGGUGUUUCUGCUUGUGAUGUGCACAAAGAGUCCUACGAUGGCUCUGGGAAGGAUGAGGUCUUGGCUGAUGCAUCGUCCCCUCCGGAUGUUGUAGCUGAUAAGGGCGGUUGUGCUAUUGAUGGUGGUGGCAGUGUUGGUGCUUCUGCAUCGGUUGGCGUCGACUGUGCUAACCCUUCUGUAGCUCAAGAAUCCCAUGAUGCUGUUUCCCCCAGUCGGCAUGAAGAUUCUGAUUUUGCAUUGAAAAGCCCCUGGAGAAUGUCGUCCCUGCUGUUAGUGUUGUUGCUUCCCCUGUUUGUCCGGUGGCCAAUGAUGUUCCUGAAGUAUCGAGAGUGGAGCCUCAUGUAG